rnacentral:lncRNA from 1 species
AUGCAGGUCAAGAACAAGGACAUAUCCCAUGCAAGCAGACAGACUCCAGCCAGCAUAAACUGUGGUGAUUGCAUGGAGGAGGAGGAGGAGGAGGAGGAGGAGGAGGAUGUCUCUGCACAAGGAACAGCACAGGGAAAACUGUGUGGAAACAUCCCCAUCUUCUGUGUCUUGGCCCCGUGGGAAUUUCCUGAAGACUUAGGAACUCCACGGCAAAACUCUUCUGACAGAAGAAAGCCUGCUGAAUUUGGGAAGUGUAUACACAAGUGAACAGCUCACAUUAGUGCACAGUAUUGAGUUGACCUUAUGCUUCAAGAACAUGAAGGCAUCAUCACCUCUUCAAGAAUCUGGUGCAACUGAUAUAUAAACCAUGAGGAGGUUAAAAAUGAUAACCAUAAAAAUACUUGGAGAAGACUCAUGGUAGUUACAAAACAAAAGUAUUCUACUGCCUUUGUUUCAUUUGCUUCAAAAAUGAGUCCAUGCAAAAUUUUCCUCCACACAGAUUAAAUAUCUGCUUGGUCUCCAAUUUUUUGAGUUAAUGAACAACACUAAUGAAUUUUUAUGUGACCAUCCAUAACUAUAUUUGCUAUAGGUAAUCUUUCAUGUCUUCGUCUUCAUAGAGAAGGGUGUUUACUUUUAUCAGUAAAACUGCUAUUGUUUUUGUUCCAAAACCUCCACUGAUGGCAUCAGCAUUUCUGUGGCCAGAGUAACUUCUUUAUAGCUGGAGUAGGGAAGGUACAGCAAGUUUCUGGCAUUUACAAACAUGUGGUCAAAGUGAUUUGAGAUGAUUAUAUUCAGAAUGAAAUGAAAUCCACAGUUGUCGAAUUCACAGUGUAUCAAACAAACCAUGAGCUGGCAGCAGGCAAAAUUCCUAUCUGCACCCCAAGGACAUGCAAUUCUUCAUACCAUCAAAGCUCUCUGAGAUAUUAAGCCCUCAUAGAUGUUGUGUUAGUCUGAGGGUUGUAACUACUCUUCAGUCUUGAUCAAUUGAAGUUCAUCCUUUAGUCAUUGGCUGGAAUGUUGAGGUCACAUCAAUAAAGCAGAAAAGUAAGGUUGUUAAGAUUUUAAG